rnacentral:lncRNA from 1 species
GUGGGCUAGGGUUUUGCCUGCAUCGAAAUAAAAAGAUGGUCAACAGCCAGGAUGGGAGAGAUUCAGAUGCAUUCAAUAACGUGCAGAAAAGGCGUGCCCAAAGCAAGUCUUCUGCCUGAGACUCUCUUCAGCUUAGUCCUCAGAGCGAGACCAUAAACUCCGGAUGGGCAGGGAUCAUGUACCUGCGGUAUAGAGAGUAGACACUCAAUAAAUGUUUGUUUAUUGGCUGCCUGACCCA